GCUUGAGGAUUUCACUUCAAUCUUUUCUGGUUGCGUCUCCACUUGUACUCAGCUUGUUAGGUCCAGGUCCAGUUGUUCUGCAUCUGAGGCUGGCGUGUGCUGUCUUCUCUGAUUGGCCUAAUCUCCCUCACCCCCGUGAGAUCUGUUGUCAGCCUUCGUUUCUCUUUCCUGUGUCCCAGCUUUUCUGCGGGUCUUGGCACCUUUCUUGGCCACAGAUUUCUGGGUUACAGAGCAUGUGUGUCUGAGGCAUUGCAGGCAGAAAAGGGUGGCCGACGUGACCUCUAGCUGGACUGCUGGGCAGGGGAGCUGUCCUAGAUAAAAUUGGAAAGAAACAGUGACCCAGAGACAGGUGGACAAAGAAUUCGGGGACUGAUGGGAACUGAGCUUGGGAUCCAGACUGAAACUGAUUCCAGACUGACCUCUAGCACCCAGGACCCAGACACAGGGCCAUGGGACCCCAGCAUUUGAGACUUGUGCAGCUGUUCUGCCUUCUAGGGGCCAUCUCCACUCUGCCUCGUAUGUCCUGU
rnacentral:lncRNA from 1 species